rnacentral:rRNA from 1 species
UACGUAGGGUGCGAGCGUUAAUCGGAAUUACUGGGCGUAGAGCGUGCGCAGGCGGUUUUAUAAGCCAGAUGUGAAAGCCCCGGGCUCAACCUGGGAAUGGCAUUUGGGACUGUAAGGCUGGAGUAUGGCAGAGGAGACUAGAAUUCCUGGUGUAGCAGUGAAAUGCGUAGAUAUCAGGAGGAAUACCGAUGGCGAAGGCAGGUCUCUGGGCCAAUACUGACGCUCAUGCACGAAAGCGUGGGGAGCAAACAGG